rnacentral:miRNA from 19 species
GACUGUGCGUCGAUGCAACUGCUCUAAUCAUUUUCGUACCAGUGUAUUCCUUCAAACCUCUUCUCUUGACUGUAGUGGUGGCCUGAAGGAGUUCAUUGGUACACAAAUCUUGAGAGCAUGGAGGAAAAUAGAGU